rnacentral:rRNA from 1 species
CCCAGACUCCUACGGGAGGCAGCAGUGGGGAAUAUUGCACAAUGGGGGAAACCCUGAUGCAGCGACGCCGCGUGAGUGAAGAAGUAAUUCGUUAUGUAAAGCUCUAUCAGCAGGGAAGAAAAUGACGGUACCUGAGUAAGAAGCCCCGGCUAACUACGUGCCAGCAGCCGCGGUAAUACGUAGGGGGCAAGCGUUAUCCGGAUUUACUGGGUGUAAAGGGAGCGUAGACGGUUAUGUAAGUCUGGAGUGAAAGCCCGGGGCCCAACCCCGGGACUGCUUUGGAAACUGUGUAACUAGAGUACAGGAGGGGCAGGCGGAAUUCCUGGUGUAGCGGUGAAAUGCGUAGAUAUCAGGAGGAACACCGGCGGCGAAGGCGGCCUGCUGGACUGAAACUGACGUUGAGGCUCGAAAGCGUGGGGAGCAAACAGGAUUAGAUACCCCUGUAGA